rnacentral:rRNA from 1 species
AGAGCGAACGCUGGCGGCAGGCCUAACACAUGCAAGUCGAGCGCCCGUAGCAAUACGGGAGCGGCAGACGGGAUAGUAACACGUGGGAACGCGCCCUUCGGUUCGGAAUAACUCAGGGAAACUUGAGCUAAUACCGGAUACGCCCUUACGGGGAAAGAUUUAUUGCCGAAGGAACGGCCCGCGUCCGAUUAGCUAGUUGGUGAGGUAAUGGCUCACCAAGGCGACGAUCGGUAGCUGGUCUGAGAGGAUGACCAGCAUCACUGGGACUGAGACACGGCCCAGACUCCUACGGGAGGCAGCAGUGGGGAAUCUUGCACAAUGGGCGAAAGCCUGAUGCAGCAACGCCGCGUGAGGGACGAAGGCUUUCUGAGUUGUAAACCUCUUUCAGCAGGGACGAUUGUGACGGUACCUGCAGAAGAAGCCCGGCAACUACGUGCCAGCAGCCGC